AGUUGCUCAUUCAACUUCUUAUGUCGGUCCACAACAAGGUGGAGAUAUCCACAUAAACUAUCGAAUGAUGCCAGAGUAAGGUGCCUACCGUCCAACUCAGUGAUAUCGCUUUCGGGCCUUAUCAAACAUCGGGCGACACGUGGAGUGAGGCACCAACCU
rnacentral:sRNA from 1 species